rnacentral:piRNA from 1 species
UGGCUACUGACUCAGACUGGAUG